AUUGAACGCUGGCGGCAUGCCUUACACAUGCAAGUCGAACGGUAACGGGCCUUCGGGUGCCGACGAGUGGCGAACGGGGGAGUAAUACAUCGGAACGUGCCCGAUCGUGGGGAAUAACGAGGCGAAAGCUUUGCUAAUACCGCAUACGAUCUACGGAUGAAAGCAGGGGACCGCAAUGCCUUGCGCGGACGGAGCGGCCGAUGGCAGAUUAGGUAGUUGGUGGGAUAAAAGCUUACCAAGCCGACGAUCUGUAGCUGGUCUGAGAGGGUGAUCAGCCACACUGGGACUGAGACACGGCCCAGACUCCUACGGGAGGCAGCAGUGGGGAAUUUUGGACAAUGGGCGCAAGCCUGAUCCAGCCAUGCCGCGUGCAGGAUGAAGGCCUUCGGGUUGUAAACUGCUUUUGUACGGAACGAAAAGCCUUCUUUUAAUACAGGAGGGUCAUGACGGUACCGUAAGAAUAAGCACCGGCUAACUACGUG
rnacentral:rRNA from 1 species